GCCUCGGUGGUGUAGUGGCAGAGCACGUGUUCCCGGAUAGGAUGAAACACGGGUUUGACUCCCUACUGAGGCC